AUUCUGGCUCAGGAUGAACGCUGGCGGCGUGCUUAACACAUGCAAGUCGAACGGGAUCCAUCAGGCUUUGCUUGGUGGUGAGAGUGGCGAACGGGUGAGUAAUGCGUGACCGACCUGCCCCAUACACCGGAAUAGCUCCUGGAAACGGGUGGUAAUGCCGGAUGCUCCGACUCCUCGCAUGGGGUGUCGGGAAAGAUUUCAUCGGUAUGGGAUGGGGUCGCGUCCUAUCAGGUAGUCGGCGGGGUAACGGCCCACCGAGCCUACGACGGGUAGCCGGCCUGAGAGGGCGACCGGCCACAUUGGGACUGAGAUACGGCCCAGACUCCUACGGGAGGCAGCAGUGGGGAAUAUUGCACAAUGGGCGCAAGCCUGAUGCAGCGACGCCGCGUGCGGGAUGACGGCCUUCGGGUUGUAAACCGCUUUUGAUCGGGAGCAAGCCUUCGGGUGAGUGUACCUUUCGAAUAAGCACCGGCUAACUACGUGCCAGCAGCCGCGGUAAUACGUAGGGUGCAAGCGUUAUCCGGAAUUAUUGGGCGUAAAGGGCUCGUAGGCGGUUCGUCGCGUCCGGUGUGAAAGUCCAUCGCUUAACGGUGGAUCUGCGCCGGGUACGGGCGGGCUGGAGUGCGGUAGGGGAGACUGGAAUUCCCGGUGUAACGGUGGAAUGUGUAGAUAUCGGGAAGAACACCAAUGGCGAAGGCAGGUCUCUGGGCCGUUACUGACGCUGAGGAGCGAAAGCGUGGGGAGCGAACAGGAUUAGAUACCCUGGUAGUCCACGCCGUAAACGGUGGAUGCUGGAUGUGGGGCCCGUUCCACGGGUUCCGUGUCGGAGCUAACGCGUUAAGCAUCCCGCCUGGGGAGUACGGCCGCAAGGCUAAAACUCAAAGAAAUUGACGGGGGCCCGCACAAGCGGCGGAGCAUGCGGAUUAAUUCGAUGCAACGCGAAGAACCUUACCUGGGCUUGACAUGUUCCCGACGGUCGUAGAGAUACGGCUUCCCUUCGGGGCGGGUUCACAGGUGGUGCAUGGUCGUCGUCAGCUCGUGUCGUGAGAUGUUGGGUUAAGUCCCGCAACGAGCGCAACCCUCGCCCUGUGUUGCCAGCACGUCAUGGUGGGAACUCACGGGGGACCGCCGGGGUCAACUCGGAGGAAGGUGGGGAUGACGUCAGAUCAUCAUGCCCCUUACGUCCAGGGCUUCACGCAUGCUACAAUGGCCGGUACAACGGGAUGCGAC
rnacentral:rRNA from 1 species